rnacentral:rRNA from 1 species
UGAGGAAUAUUGGACAAUGGAUGGAAAUCUGGUCCAGCGAUGCCGCGUGGAGGAAGACGGCCCGAUGGGUUGGAAACUGAUUUUAUACGGGAGCAAUAAGGUCGAGGUGUGGACUGAUGAGAGGACCGUACGAAUAAGCAUCGGCAAACACCGUGACAGCAGCC